rnacentral:rRNA from 1 species
CAGUCGCCACGGGAAUACGGAGGGGGCUAGCGUUGUUCGGAUUUACUGGGCGUAAAGGGCGCGUAGGCGGACUGAUAAGUCAGGGGUGAAAUCCCAAGGCUCAACCUUGGAACUGCCUUUGAUACUGUUUGUCUUGAGUUCGAGAGAGGUAAGUGGAACUGCGAGUGUAGAGGUGAAAUUCGUAGAUAUUCGCAAGAACACCAGUGGCGAAGGCGGCUUACUGGCUCGAAACUGACGCUGAGGCGCGAAAGCGUGGGGAGCAAACAGGAUUAGAUACCCGGGUAGUCCCUGUCUCUUAUAC